rnacentral:rRNA from 1 species
AGUCGUACGAGAGUUUUUAACUCAAGUGGCGGACGGGUGAGUAACACGUAAGAAUUUGCCUUUAGGAGGGGGACAACAACUGGAAACGGUUGCUAAUACCCCAUAUGCUUUCGAGUGAAAUGGAUUUUUCCGCCUAGAGAGAAGCUUGCGGCUGAUUAGCUUGUUGGUAAGGUAAUGGCUUACCAAGGCGACGAUCAGUAUCUGGUUUGAGAGGACGAUCAGACACACUGGAACUGAGACACGGUCCAGACUCCUACGGGAGGCAGCAGUGGGGAAUUUUCCGCAAUGGGCGAAAGCCUGACGGAGCAAUACCGCGUGAGGGAUGACGGCCUAUGGGUUGUAAACCUCUUUUUUCAGGGAGGAAAAAAAUGACGUUACCUGAAGAAUAAGCAUCGGCUAACUCCGUGCCAGCAGCCGCGGUAAUACG